AACCCAUAUCAGAUGGUCGCCCCCCACCACGAGUCGUGGGGGGAGGAAAGUCCGAACACACGCCUUGGUUCGCCAAGGCAGAAGGGUAGCGGGUAACGCCCGUCCGAAGCAAUUCGAGAGGUGCGAGCAGAGACGUCUCCGACGAAAGAACGAGAUACCCCUUGUGGGUAAGCCUGCAUGGCAACAUGCGGGGUGAAACGGCUAAAUCCUUACUUGUGUGCAAGGCCGUGUCGCGCGCAAGCGCGAAGUGCCGCUUGAGGGUGCGAGUAAUCGCACUCCCAGAUAAAUGACCAUCGUUAGAUAUCAGUAAUGAUAUUUAAUACAGAAUUCGGCUUAUCGAUAUGAGUAAACC
rnacentral:RNase_P_RNA from 2 species